UACAGCUUAUCCCUUAUCACACUGACAAGACUGGGAACCACAGCAGAUGGUCCCCCCAGACAUAAUUCUAACAGGUUUUUUGUGCAAACAAAAGAUAAAGAAAGCUACAGCAAUGAUUUACUGAUAUCGAAAGUUGAAAACUGACAAAACACAAACUGCUUUUUUCUGGCUGUUUGAACUGUUUAUCCUUUAAACUACUAAAUAAGAUAGAUAUGGCCGAAAUUAAAUAUGUUUUAAAAACUACAAAACCAAAUACUCCAAUCUUAGCAGCCAUUAAGUUCUGUCUUUGAGUUACCUAAAUGUCCUAACUUUGUUUUUUCUAAUUUUCACCAUUGCCUUUGUCCCAGGAAAAGAAAAUAUUUGUAAAUUUCUGCUUUAUAAAUCCUAUUUAGUUAUUAUGUUGUGAAAUAAACUACUCAUCUGGAUUUUUCUUAAAUGAGGAGGAUGCAUUUGAACUGAAAAUUCCAAAAUAUUUUCCCAAGAAAAACUCACUAAAGAAUGAAUUAACUGAACUAAAUCUGGAAUCUUAGCUGCAAAGUCUAUCCUAUUUCAAAAUAAUCUACCAUUUGAACAUAACACAACACCAAAUGGAAAAUGUCCCCAAAAUUACUCGCCCUUCAAGAUUUAAAAGUGUUUUCAUAUCAUAAAACAGAAGCUAUUUCAUGACAAUCUAACUGCAAAGAGAACUGUUUUUAUGGUGUACCUGAAAAUCCAGCAAGAGCCCCAAACAAAAAUAUAUAAUGAAACUGACAAGGAUCUGAAAUAAACUACCCAGACAUCAAGCAAAAACACACCAGACAGACCCACAGGGCUCUUUUAAUGUAGGUCAUGAUUGUCAGACCAUAGCAAAAACAUGGUGACCCUUGAUAAAAAUUAACCUUAUUAUAUGUAAUCAUGCACAUAUUUUGCCCUCAGUAAACAGUCCUCUAAAGUAAGUCCAAGAAGUGGAUAUUACAGUCAACUAUGAACUACUUUUCACCAAAGAAAAUGUCUGCCCACCAUAUUUCCAUCAAUGGAGGUACAGGGGUGCCUUCCAUCAUAAUAGCUCAAGAUGUAAGGACCCCAUACCACCUGAGCUAGGAUUACAUCCUCUUACUUUCUGAGAGGCUCUGUUUUAUCAUGGAAAAAUUAUGAAAGGAAGCAAAUUAAAAUCAAAUCAGGAAUAAUAGGCCCCAUUAUAUCAUCUAUUUUAUAGUUUAUUUUUGUAGAAAUCAUUCACAAAGUCUCUGACUAGGGGAGAGGUCCAUAUUAAAAAGCUUAUAUUCCAAUUAAUCCAAGCUAAUAAAACACUUUAUGAAACAAUCCAUGAGGACAAAAAUUCUCCAUGCAGAAUAAUAACGAAUAUGUUCAUAUAAUAUAAACAAUUUAGCCACAACUAGUUAAUUCAGGUAGUGACAGCAUAAUACUAACCAUAUCAGUGUUGCAAAUUUGAACCAGUAUGAGCCAGCUAGUUUGACUGCCUUCCACAGCCAAAAAGCAGAUGUUUGAUUUUGCUAGCCGGCCAUCACACAGGACAACUGAAAAACAGGACCAAGUGGGAUACUCUGCUCAAAUCAGUGCAAAUCCAUUACUACCGGAAGAGCAGUGGGUCAAAAAGCUCAUCUCUGUAGGGCAUCCUUAUUCAAUAGGAACAAUAGGUCUUCUCUGUACAACGCUUCCAAAUCCAAUCUAAAGUCACCGUACAUAAAAAUAUGUAAAGGACACAUUUUUCUGAUGUUAAGAACAUCUAAAAUUCAGAAAAUGAUAAAUAUAUUAAACAUAAUCUAACAGUUGUUAUUUGAUGUUCUACAUCCUAAACCAAAUACUGUCUUUAUUUACGAACAGAAAACAAAUUCUGUCAAACAUAGAAGAAAUCUAAUUUUGAGUUUUACAGUAAAAGUAUGGCAUCUAUUUCAAUUCUAAGACAACAUAUAAAUCAUCAUGCUGAUGUAAUAGAUAUAAUUUAAAAUAAAUGCAGCAUACUUUCUUUGAACACAUAUUAGGUUCAUUUCCAUCUGCCAUCUUUUUAGAGCAUAAAAAACUCCUCAGCUGAAAUAUGUUUGCUAAUAAAUAUAACUUGAGGUUUUUCAUUGAAAUUAAACUGCAAAAAUGUUAUGAAAACUGUCAUCUGCAUACAACUCCAAUCACCUACUAUUCUCAUUAUGGUCAGUAUACUACAUAUUCUUAAUACAUAAAUAACAAACACUGACCAGCAAGGUAAAACAACAACAACAUUGAAAUCCACAAUGGAAAUUUCCAAUCUGAAAAAACAGAUCUCAGAUACUUUUUCAAAAAAGGCAAACAGGAAAUGUGUAACAAUGAGUUGCGCAACAUGGUCCUUAAAAUCCUGAACUUGCUAAAUGUCAUCAUAUUAGAAGGAGACUCUGGCUACAAGCUAAUUUAAUACUUAAAUGUUAAUAUAAUUUCCCCAUUACUACAUCUGCCAAGAAUGUUUUCUAACCAAUAAAAGCAAGACUAGAAAAUGGUAUGUAU